CCAGGUGGAGGAAGAGGCCAAGUAAGAGGAAGAGGGAGAGGAAGACCAGGAGGAGGGGUAGGACAUGCGCAAAGAAGAAGACAACCAAAUCUGUGUAACGAAAUUCGUGCUACAAUUGUGGACCAUGUAAUAAACCACGGACUAACAAUGAGGGAGGCUGGAUUGAGAGUACAGCCUAACCUAAGCAGGUACACGGUGGCAUCAAUAGUUCAGACAUUUCGUCAAGAGCACAGGUCUCUCUGUCAACAAUAGCCCGUAUCCUUAAAAAACAUCAAGUUCUGAUGAAACAACUGUAUAAAGUGCCAUUUGAAAGAAAUUCAGACAGGGUGAAAGUCCUGCGGCGUGAAUAUGUGGUGAGAGUUUUGCAAAUGGAUGCGGAGGAAGUCCCGCAUGAGUUUAUUUACAUUGAUGAGGCUGGAUUUAACCUGACAACAGUACGAAGAAGGGGAAGAAACAUCAUCGGCCACAGGGCUAUUGUCAAUGUACCAGGGCAACAUGGGGGUAACAUUACCCUUUGUGCUGCCAUUACACAGAAUGGGGUCCUCCAACGCCAUGCCAACUUGGGUCCUUACAACACUGAACUCAUUCUUACAUUU